UUAAGCGACUAAGCGUACACGGUGGAUGCCCUGGCAGUCAGAGGCGAUGAAGGACGUGCUAAUCUGCGAAAAGCGUCGGUAAGGUGAUAUGAACCGUUAUAACCGGCGAUGUCCGAAUGGGGAAACCCAGUGCAAUUCGUUGCACUAUCGUUAACUGAAUACAUAGGUUAACGAGGCGAACCGGGGGAACUGAAACAUCUAAGUACCCCGAGGAAAAGAAAUCAACCGAGAUUCCCCCAGUAGCGGCGAGCGAACGGGGAGCAGCCCAGAGUCUGAAUCAGCUUGUGUGUUAGUGGAACGGUCUGGAAAGUCCGACGGUACAGGGUGAUAGUCCCGUACACCAAAAUGCACAGGCUGUGAACUCGAAGAGUAGGGCGGGACACGUGGUAUCCUGUCUGAAUAUGGGGGACCAUCCUCCAAGGCUAAAUACUCCUGACUGACCGAUAGUGAACCAGUACCGUGAGGGAAAGGCGAAAAGAACCCCGGCGAGGGGAGUGAAAAAGAACCUGAAACCGUGUACGUACAAGCAGUGGGAGCACCUUCGGGUGUGACUGCGUACCUUUUGUAUAAUGGGUCAGCGACUUAUAUUCUGUAGCAAGGUUAACCGUAUAGGGGAGCCGCAGGGAAACCGAGUCUUAACUGGGCGUUAAGUUGCAGGGUAUAGACCCGAAACCCGGUGAUCUAGCCAUGGGCAGGUUGAAGGUUGGGUAACACUAACUGGAGGACCGAACCGACUAAUGUUGAAAAAUUAGCGGAUGACUUGUGGCUGGGGGUGAAAGGCCAAUCAAACCGGGAGAUAGCUGGUUCUCCCCGAAAGCUAUUUAGGUAGCGCCUCGUGAAUUCAUCUUCGGGGGUAGAGCACUGUUUCGGCUAGGGGGUCAUCCCGACUUACCAACCCGAUGCAAACUACGAAUACCGAAGAAUGUUAUCACGGGAGACACACGGCGGGUGCUAACGUCCGUCGUGAAGAGGGAAACAACCCAGACCGCCAGCUAAGGUCCCAAAGUCAUGGUUAAGUGGGAAACGAUGUGGGAAGGCACAGACAGCCAGGAUGUUGGCUUAGAAGCAGCCAUCAUUUAAAGAAAGCGUAAUAGCUCACUGGUCGAGUCGGCCUGCGCGGAAGAUGUAACGGGGCUAAACCAUGCACCGAAGCUGCGGCAGCGACACUAUGUGUUGUUGGGUAGGGGAGCGUUCUGUAAGCCUGCGAAGGUGUGCUGUGAGGCAUGCUGGAGUAUCAGAAGUGCGAAUGCUGACAUAAGUAACGAUAAAGCGGGUGAAAAGCCCGCUCGCCGGAAGACCAAGGGUUCCUGUCCAACGUUAAUCGGGGCAGGGUGAGUCGACCCCUAAGGCGAGGCCGAAAGGCGUAGUCGAUGGGAAACAGGUUAAUAUUCCUGUACUUGGUGUUACUGCGAAGGGGGGACGGAGAAGGCUAUGUUAGCCGGGCGACGGUUGUCCCGGUUUAAGCAUGUAGGCUGAUUGUCCAGGCAAAUCCGGAUAAUCAAGGCUGAGGUGUGAUGACGAGGCACUACGGUGCUGAAGUAACAAAUGCCCUGCUUCCAGGAAAAGCCUCUAAGCAUCAGGUAACAUUAAAUCGUACCCCAAACCGACACAGGUGGUCAGGUAGAGAAUACCAAGGCGCUUGAGAGAACUCGGGUGAAGGAACUAGGCAAAAUGGUGCCGUAACUUCGGGAGAAGGCACGCUGGUGUGUAGGUGAAGUCCCUGCGGAUGGAGCUGAGACCAGUCGAAGAUACCAGCUGCUGCAACUGUUUAUUAAAAACACAGCACUGUGCAAACACGAAAGUGGACGUAUACGGUGUGACGCCUGCCCGGUGCCGGAAGGUUAAUUGAUGGGGUUAUCCGUAAGGAGAAGCUCUUGAUCGAAGCCCCGGUAAACGGCGGCCGUAACUAUAACGGUCCUAAGGUAGCGAAAUUCCUUGUCGGGUAAGUUCCGACCUGCACGAAUGGCGUAAUGAUGGCCAGGCUGUCUCCACCCGAGACUCAGUGAAAUUGAACUCGCUGUGAAGAUGCAGUGUACCCGCGGCAAGACGGAAAGACCCCGUGAACCUUUACUAUAGCUUGACACUGAACAUUGAGCCUUGAUGUGUAGGAUAGGUGGGAGGCUUUGAAGCGUGGACGCCAGUCUGCGUGGAGCCAACCUUGAAAUACCACCCUUUAAUGUUUGAUGUUCUAACGUUGGCCCCUUAUCGGGGUUGCGGACAGUGUCUGGUGGGUAGUUUGACUGGGGCGGUCUCCUCCCAAAGCGUAACGGAGGAGCACGAAGGUUAGCUAAUCCUGGUCGGACAUCAGGAGGUUAGUGCAAUGGCAUAAGCUAGCUUGACUGCGAGCGUGACGGCGCGAGCAGGUGCGAAAGCAGGUCAUAGUGAUCCGGUGGUUCUGAAUGGAAGGGCCAUCGCUCAACGGAUAAAAGGUACUCCGGGGAUAACAGGCUGAUACCGCCCAAGAGUUCAUAUCGACGGCGGUGUUUGGCACCUCGAUGUCGGCUCAUCACAUCCUGGGGCUGAAGUAGGUCCCAAGGGUAUGGCUGUUCGCCAUUUAAAGUGGUACGCGAGCUGGGUUUAGAACGUCGUGAGACAGUUCGGUCCCUAUCUGCCGUGGGCGCUGGAGAAUUGAGGGGGGCUGCUCCUAGUACGAGAGGACCGGAGUGGACGCAUCACUGGUGUUCGGGUUGUCAUGCCAAUGGCACUGCCCGGUAGCUAAAUGCGGAAGAGAUAAGUGCUGAAAGCAUCUAAGCACGAAACUUGCCCCGAGAUGAGUUCUCCCUGAGACUUUAAGUCUCCUGAAGGAACGUUAAAGACGAUGACGUUGAUAGGCCGGGUGUGUAAGCGCAGCGAUGCGUUGAGCUAACCGGUACUAAUGAACCGUGAGGCUUAACCUU
rnacentral:rRNA from 1 species